AUUGAACGCUGGCGGCAUGCUUUACACAUGCAAGUCGAACGGCAGCACAGGGAGCUUGCUCCUGGGUGGCGAGUGGCGAACGGGUGAGUAAUGUAUCGGAACGUGCCUGGUAGUGGGGGAUAACUACUCGAAAGAGUGGCUAAUACCGCAUGAGAUCUUUGGAUGAAAGCGGGGGACCUUCGGGCCUCGUGCUACUGGAGCGGCCGAUAUCAGAUUAGGUUGUUGGUGGGGUAAAGGCCUACCAAGCCUGCGAUCUGUAGCUGGUCUGAGAGGACGACCGGCCACACUGGGACUGAGACACGGCCCAGACUCCUACGGGAGGCAGCAGUGGGGAAUUUUGGACAAUGGGCGCAAGCCUGAUCCAGCAAUGCCGCGUGCAGGACGAAGGCCUUCGGGUUGUAAACUGCUUUUGUACAGAACGAAAAGUCUCUGGCUAAUAUCUAGAGAUCAUGACGGUACUGUAAGAAUAAGCACCGGCUAACUACGUG
rnacentral:rRNA from 1 species